rnacentral:rRNA from 1 species
UACGUAGGGUGCAAGCGUUGUCCGGAAUUACUGGGCGUAAAGCGUGCGCAGGCGGCUUUGCAAGUCAGCUGUGAAAUCCCCGGGCUUAACCUGGGAACUGCAUUUGUGACUGCAUGGCUGGAGUGCGGCAGAGGGGGAUGGAAUUCCGCGUGUAGCAGUGAAAUGCGUAGAUAUGCGGAGGAACACCGAUGGCGAAGGCAAUCCGCUGGGCCUGCACUGACGCUCAUGCACGAAAGCGUGGGGAGCAAACAGG